rnacentral:rRNA from 1 species
UACGUAGGGUGCAAGCGUUUGUCCGGAAUCACUGGGCGUAAAGCGCACGUAGGCGGCUUUCUAAGUCGGGGGUGAAAUCCUGGAGCUCAACUCCAGAACUGCCUUCGAUACUGGAAAGCUCGAGUCCGGGAGAGGUGAGUGGAACUGCGAGUGUAGAGGUGAAAUUCGUAGAUAUUCGCAAGAACACCAGUGGCGAAGGCGGCUCACUGGCCCGGUACUGACGCUGAGGUGCGAAAGCGUGGGGAGCAAACAGG